CCUACGGGAGGCAGCAGUAGGGAAUUUUCCGCAAUGGGCGAAAGCCUGACGGAGCAAUACCGCGUGAGGGAUGACUGCCUGUGGGUUGUAAACCUCUUUUCUCAAGGAAGAAGUCCUGACGGUACUUGAGGAAUAAGCAUCGGCUAACUCUGUGCCAGCAGCCGCGGUAAUACAGAGGAUGCAAGCGUUAUCCGGAAUCACUGGGCAUAAAGCGUCUGUAGGUGGUUUGGUAAGUCUGCUGUUAAAGACUGGGGCUCAACCCCAGAAAAGCAGUGGAAACUGCCAAACUUGAGUGUGGUAGAGGUAGAGGGAAUUCCUAGUGUAGCGGUGAAAUGCGUAGAUAUUAGGAAGAACACCAAUGGCGAAAGCACUCUACUGGACCAUAACUGACACUGAGAGACGACAGCUAGGGGAGCAAAUGGGAUUAGAUACCCCAGUAGUCCUAGCCGUAAACGAUGGAUACUAGAUGUUGCACGUAUUAACCCGUGCAGUAUCGUAGCUAAGGCGUUAAGUAUCCCGCCUGGGAAGUACGCUCGCAAGAGUGAAACUCAAAGGAAUUGACGG
rnacentral:rRNA from 1 species